rnacentral:rRNA from 1 species
ACUCCGGGGAUAACAGGCUGAUACCGCCCAAGAGUUCAUAUCGACGGCGGUGUUUGGCACCUCGAUGUCGGCUCAUCACAUCCUGGGGCUGAAGUAGGUCCCAAGGGUAUGGCUGUUCGCCAUUUAAAGUGGUACGCGAGCUGGGUUUAGAACGUCGUGAGACAGUUCGGUCCCUAUCUGCCGUGGGCGCUGGAGAACUGAGGGGGGCUGCUCCUAGUACGAGAGGACCGGAGUGGACGCAUCACUGGUGUUCGGGUUGUCAUGCCAAUGGCACUGCCCGGUAGCUAAAUGCGGAAGAGAUAAGUGCUGAAAGCAUCUAAGCACGAAACUUGCCCCGAGAUGAGUUCUCCCUGACUCCUUGAGAGUCCUGAAGGAACGUUGAAG